UACGUAGGGGGCAAGCGUUGUCCGGAUUUAUUGGGCGUAAAGAGCGUGUAGGCGGCCAGGUAGGUCAGCUGUGAAAACUCGAGGCUCAACCUCGAGAUGUCGGCUGAAACCAUCUGGCUAGAGUCCGGAAGAGGAGAAUGGAAUUCCCGGUGUAGCGGUGAAAUGCGCAGAUAUCGGGAAGAACACCCGUGGCGAAGGCGGUUCUCUGGGACGGUACUGACGCUGAGACGCGAAAGCGUGGGAGCGAACAGG
rnacentral:rRNA from 1 species